GGUCGGUUAGCUCAGUUGGUUAGAGCGUGGUACUAAUAUAUGAGAUCGGAUAUAUCAAGUAAUGCCAAGGCCGGGAGUUCAAGCCUCCCACUGAUCA